rnacentral:rRNA from 1 species
GACGAACGCUGGCGGCGUGCUUAACACAUGCAAGUCGAACGGAAAGGCCCAGCUUUUGUGGGGUGCUCGAGUGGCGAACGGGUGAGUAACACGUGAGUAACCUGCCCUUGACUUUGGGAUAACUUCAGGAAACUGGGGCUAAUACCGGAUAGGAGCUCCUGCUGCAUGGUGGGGGUGGGAAAGUUUCGGCGGUUGGGGUUGGACGCGGGCCUUAUCAGCUUGUUGGUGGGGUAGGGGCUUACCAAGGCUUUGGCGGGUAGCCGGCCUGAGAGGGUGACCGGCCACAUUGGGACUGAGAUACGGCCCAGACUCCUACGGGGGGCAGCAGUGGGGAAUAUUGCACAAUGGGCGGAAGCCUGACGGAGCCACGCCGCGUGCGGGAUGACGGCCUUCGGGUUGUAAACCGCUUUCGCCUGUGACGAAGCGUGAGUGACGGUAAUGGGUAAAGAAGCACCGGCUAACUACGUG